ACUCUGAUUGAGAGACAUCGGAAUUAUUUGAUCAUCGACUAAAAGACUCGGAGCACAGAGAGACUCGAGAGAAAACAUCAGGAUAUAUCAGAACUAAUAGACUCUGAGCAGCAGAGACUCUGAGGAGACAUCAGGAUUAGUAAUCAUAUGAAAGCUCCUGGAGCACAGAGAGACUCUGAGGAGAACAUCAGGAUUAUUAUCAUGACUAAAGACUCUGGAGCAGCAGAGAGACUCUGAGGAGAAAUCAGGAUAAAAAGGGAAAUUAUAUCAAAAAGAUGAGGACUAAAGAACUCUGGAGCUACAGGACACGAGGAGAACAUCCAGUGAUUAUAUCAUGACUGAAAGGUCUCUGGAGCACAGAGAGACUCGGAAGAGAACAUCAGGAUUAUUAUCAACUAAUAGACGCUGGACACAGAGACUCUGAGGAGAACAUCAGGAUAUUAACUCAAUGACUAACAGGACCUGAGCGACAGAGAGACUCUGAGGAGAAACAGCGAGGAUAUUAUCACGACUAAAGGCUCUGGAGCACAGAGAGACUGCUGAAGAGGAAGCACAGGAUAUUAUCAGACAAAGGGCUCCGGAGCAAACAGAGACCUGAGGAGAC
rnacentral:lncRNA from 1 species